rnacentral:lncRNA from 1 species
AAAAACUGAACACACGUUAUACGAUGAAUGAACAUAAUUCACGAAUUCUCAAGAUCCUCACCAAAAGGAUUCGGAGAGGAUCCUAUUGGCCUUCUUUUCCUUAUUUGUAUGUCACAUGGGCGCCACGCGGGCAUAAAAGUGAAAAAGAAAAAUAGUUCGUUUAUGUACUUGGGUUAAUCAUUCUACAAUAUACCUCUUUCACCAUAACCAAAUUGCUUUCAAAAUUCACAUCAAAUUUGUCACAUUUGCUUAUACUAGUUUUGGGCACAGAGAGAGAGGGAGAGAGAGAGAGAGAGAGAGAGAGAGAGAGAGAGAGAGAGACCAAGGCACCUCACUUCUGGUUUUGAAUCAAUUUACAAAUUCAACAAUAUGCCAUAAGAUUUGUGCACCUGCCGGCUGGAGAGGAUCGCUCAGUCGGCGUUUUCUUCCUUAACUGCAACUU